UAACCUGCCCAAGAGAUCGGGAUAACACCUGGAAACAGAUGCUAAUACCGGAUAACAACAGAUGAUGCCUAUCAACUGUUUAAAAGAUGGUUNUGCUAUCACUCUUGGAUGGACCUGCGGUGCAUUAGCUAGUUGGUAGGGUAACGGCCUACCAAGGCGAUGAUGCAUAGCCGAGUUGAGAGACUGAUCGGCCACAUUGGGACUGAGACACGGCCCAAACUCCUACGGGAGGCAGCAGAG
rnacentral:rRNA from 1 species